rnacentral:lncRNA from 1 species
CACAAGCAGGUAUUCUGUUGUAAACAUCUUUUGUUAAUACAUGUUGAAAGCUGAAUUUUCUCACGUUUGAAUGAAAGAGCCCUACUUAAAGAGAGUUUAAACCAAGCCAGGUUCAAGGUUCUUUUCUUUUCUUUCUUUUUAGAUUUCUGACAUCAUAUCUGUGGGAUCCACACAGUGGGGAAGUGCUGGCUUGGAGUCCAUGGUUUCCCCAGCUAUCAUUUUACUUAAGAAUUACAGUGUUCUCUGUUAGCAUCAAGGGAAUGAACCUGAAGAGAAAAGACAAAACAUAGGACUGUUACAGGGAAGAAAAAUAUGAAAAGACCUAAAGAUGCACUUCCUCAUUACAUGCUAUUUUGCCCCCAGUCCUCGGUUGCUUGGCAGUUGUUUCCAAUAUAGUCCCUCCUGCCUUCUGUUCAGCUGGAAUCCGGCUCUAGCUCACACCCUAUACAUGGGGCUGAUGUGUGUUGACUAAAGAAGGGAAGGAAAUCAGGAGGCAAGGAAGGAAUAACGCAAGAAUCCCAGCCAGGCAAAAAGGCAAGUUCUCUUCAAUAUUCUCUUUCCUGCAUGCAUUGCCUUAACAUACCCCCAAGCCCACCUCCACUUCCAUCUCUACCUCAACACACAUCUUCGAGAAUCUAAACUUUUCAUGGUCCACCCUUACUCUCAACCAUCACUAAAAUGUCCAUAGUGCCCAAAUAACAAAUUUACUGAUCUGAUAAACAA